UCCUUCGGGCCUCUCUCCGAUAAGAAUGCGGCAGGAAGACCUGUUAUGACCUGACAGUUUUGUUUUUCGAGGUGAUCUUCGGUUAUGUCACGGCCUUCGCUCCGAGCUACGAGGUGUUCGCCGUGUCGCGCCUCCUCGUCGGUUUGAUGAACGGCGGCAUCGGCCUCGUCUGCUUCGUGCUCACUCAGGAAUACGUGGGGAAAUCCUACUGGGCCAUGACCGGGACGUUGACCAGCAUAAGUUUUGCAGUCGGCAUCGCCCUGUUCGGAGCGCUGGGUUACUUCAUCCGGCCGUGGAGGACCCUGGCCAUCGUGGCCAACUCCUCCGGGGUCCUCUUCUUCCUGCUGUCCGUGUGAGUAAGACUUCAGAGAGUGUUGGGGAA